GUCCAGCCUGAUUCGAGCUUCCUGGACAGCCACAAGGCAUGCCUUGGCCGCCAUUGAGCAGAAUGCCGCUGGUGGCCAGCGCCGACAGAGUGCCGUCUCAGCGGACAAGGGAGUAUCAAGCGAGACAUCAUCAUCAUCAAGCGAGCAUGGGAGUUUUUCCUGCAAGCAAGUAUCUCAUUAUCCUUACCUUCAUCUGAACCACACUUGCAUUUUUAAAUCUCUGAAGAGUCAACGUCGACCCCGGCGCUGGUGCAGGAGGUGUCCAUGGGCAACGUCCUCAGCGCAAAGCUCGGCUAGGCCCCGGCCAGGCAGGCCUCUCUCCGCGUCGCCUGCCCAACACCGUACCCUGCACCACUGUCAACAAAGUCUGCUCGUCGGGGACGAAGGGAUAUGGAUGACUAUCUCAAGGGAUGCAGGUUUCUUCCCAAACUUAAGAAUGAGAUACCUGGUGAAACAAAUGCUCCCUAGUCCCUACAGGGAAAGGUUGAGCAGCCUAGAGAAUUUAGUACUGAUCAUGGGUGAUCGACGAGGACUACUGCGGCCCGAUGGGAGUCGUGCUCUUCAACUACUCGGAGGCAGACUUCACCGUGAAACCCCGCGACCGCGUCAUACAAAUUAUCGUCCAGGUGAUUGCGAUGCAGGAGGUCCCCAGGGUGGAGGACCUCGACGCCACCGUCCGGAGGUCACCGAGGUGGAGGACGACGCCACCGUCCGGAGUUCCUCAAGGUGGAGGACCUCGACACUUUGUACAUACAUCUAGAGAAGUGGUCUGGUUAGGUUGGUGGUGAAACGCUAGGGAAGGUACCAACCUUUUGAUGAUGGUUGUGUGCGUCCUCGUGAUCUCUUCGAGUUGAGAUGUUCAAUGUUGCAUCCAUGAACACUUCAAGUGUUAAGAUGGUUCUGUGAAAUUUAUUUUGCACUGGACGUGUCUCUGAUCUCCAUUCAUGAAUACUGCAUCUAUUUUUAUUUUUUUAAUUCCUAAUUUGUUACUAAUAGCGUUGGGAAAAAAGUGCCCUACUAGUAUUUAGGAUACUAGUAGCGCUGGUAUUAUAGGCACGCUACUACUACUUCAUUAGUAGUAGCGCGAGUCUGUAAUAGCAGUAGCGUGGGUGGCACACGCUAUUACUAACAAAGUUAGUAGUAGCGCGGGUUUCACCCACGCUACUACUAACUAUUAACUGUAGCGCGAUACUAGUAGUGUGGGUACCCGUGCUGCUAGUAGCCUUUUUCCUAGUAGUGUGAUGUUUUCUCGCACGGGAGAA